CUAAUUCUAUUUAAAUAGCACACAGUGAGUAAGAAAUUAGAUUCCCCAUAGGACACUGCAGAAAGCCUGAAGCCUUAUUCUUCAAAAACAAAAACGUCAAAAGGAAAAUGAUGUUCAAGUUAUUAUUCAUGCUGCUCCUACUGUUUGCUGAUGUCACUUUGCGGAAAACCACAGCAAUGCCAACGGAUACCAGCCUAAGUUCUCAAACAACCACAAAUUCCAACACAACUCCAAAGCUCCAAACAUCUCUGGAUCCCAAGGCAACAAAGAAUACGGAAGUGACCUCAACGAUAGCCACAACCAUGAAUACAGAAAGUGUAGCCACAACCAAGAAUAUGAAAACUGUAGCCACAACCACGAGUACAAAAAAUGUAACUACAACCAAGAAUAUGAAAAGUGCAGCCACAACCAAGAAUAUGCAAAGUGCAGCCACAACCAUGAGCACAGAAAGUGUAGCUACAACCAAGAAUACAAAAAACGGUGGCAGCACAUUGAGUGCGGCGGACAGCACUCCCGUUCUUUUCUUCGUUGCCUUUCUGCUGUGUCUGCGUGCCUAGGCUGGAGUGGACGUGGGCUGUCUGCGCUGCUCUCAGUUCACCGUAUCCACCAAAUGGCAACAAGCGCACUGGGAAACCACAUUUAUCUCAGUUCACUUCUGAGUGCAUUACCAUCACCCUAGCUUAAUUUGGUUGUUUGCAAAUUUUAAUUGUGUAAGUUUAAUCACUACCUUAAUAUGAUGGCUUCCUUCCUUAUAAAUGCUAAAAAAAGGCAAAAUGCUCUGCGUUUUAAAUGUCUGCAAAA